rnacentral:rRNA from 1 species
UGGGGAAUUUUGGACAAUGGGCGAAAGCCUGAUCCAGCAAUGCCGCGUGUGUGAAGAAGGCCUUCGGGUUGUAAAGCACUUUUGUCCGGAAAGAAAUCCUUGGCUCUAAUACAGUCGGGGGAUGACGGUACCGGAAGAAUAAGCACCGGCUAACUACGUGCCAGCAGCCGCGGUAAUACGUAGGGUGCAAGCGUUAAUCGGAAUUACUGGGCGUAAAGCGUGCGCAGGCGGUUUGCUAAGACCGAUGUGAAAUCCCCGGGCUCAACCUGGGAACUGCAUUGGUGACUGGCAGGCUAGAGUAUGGCAGAGGGGGGUAGAAUUCCACGUGUAGCAGUGAAAUGCGUAGAGAUGUGGAGGAAUACCGAUGGCGAAGGCANCCCCCUGGGCCAAUACUGACGCUCAUGCACGAAAGCGUGGGGAGCAAACNGGAUUAGAUACCCUGGUAGUCCACGCCCUAAANGAUGUCAACUAGUUGUUGGGGAUUCAUUUCCUAGUAACGUAGCUAACGCGUGAAGUUGACCGCCUGGGGAGUAC